rnacentral:lncRNA from 1 species
GAUGGAGUCGAGACUCGUCUCAGAUUUACAGGCAUUUGAAGAUCUAUCUAGUUUAAUUUCUGUUGCUUUUAUGUUUUAUUGUAAUGAUCAAAGAGGAUGGCUAAUUCCCUCUUGUAACCCAGAAAUUUAGUUAAUGAAGUUUAAUGUUUGACAAAAAAAAAAAAAAAAAAAAAAAAAAAAAAGGAAGAUCGAGUUUUCUGGUUUAUUUCAGUUGAUUUCAGAGGGAUUCAGCAAAAUUGGCAUCUCAUAUAUGAAGAUGGUCUAAUAUAGGGUUUGCUCAAAGUUGAUUGAGUUUCUUUAAGAGUUAUCAAUCGGUGUUUGUAGGGAUCUUUAUCUUCGAUUUUUGUCUCAAGAAUGUGUUUGAAGGUGGAAGUGAUAAUCAAGAGUACAGUUAAUGGUGGUUAAAGUUGAAGAAGAAAAAAUUAAAGCGGCGUAUUGGUUGAGUAAUCUCGCCGGCGAAGAUGGUCAUAAGCCACCGGAGCUAGCUUUGUCUGAUUACUAAUCUUUUCCUUAAUACGUAUUUAAAUCCUAUGUUUUAUUUAUACACAUGUAAUAGAGAUUGUAUAAUAUUUACGGUAUAUUAAAGUUUGUAUUUUUUUAUUUUGGGCAUUAAUAAUAAAAAAAAGUUG